CAAGUCUUGAGUAUUUUUAUUAGGUAUAUUAUAAUUUCCCAACUGUAUUUUUGAUGAAUUUAUAUAGAGGCACGUAAUAGGAUCUAUUUUUCAACAUAUCACUCAGGCGGCGGGAGGGAUCUUGCACUGUCAAUUGAUUUUGCACUAUUUCACUAAUUUCACUGACAAGAAUCAAUCUGUCAAACGAAAAGCACUCACAUUUAUGUAUGAAAUGUUCGAUAUCACCAACAGAAUUAUUGCAGAAGGUGCAGUAGCUACUCUCCACUAUGCCCAACCGAGCCAGGAGGGCUGGGACGGUGGAGUGACCAAAACGCAGUCUGUUUAUAGUCGUAAUAAAGUCCCGAUUGGCCAUUUUCAAUUUGUUAUACCAUGGUGCUACAGUACAAUGAGAAGUAGAACUGGGAAAUAACCUCGUAAAAGCUCACCUCCCGAAGUCUGCUGAGCCAAGCAUUGUACAGGAAAAGAUCUGACAAGAGAGAGAUGAAGCUGUCAGCACAACUUCGGCCUCUCCGGAAGCCAUAUUGAACAUGUGGAAUGAUGUUGUUCACCUCUACAUAAUACUCAAGACGCAUCUUUAUCAUGUUUUCAUUAAGCUUCCCAACACAAGAUGACAAUGAUAUGGGACGAUAUGAGAUGGUUGAACUUGAAGCACCGGAAGCAUUGCUGCAACGGCGGGACAUAUUCAAACACCCGGAACGAAAAUAGGUCAUAUUGGAUGUUGUCGGGCAGAACAUUUGAUAAGAAAGUUAUACUGACAGUCUCAAGACCUACAGUACUUUGACCGACUUUUUUCAUGAAUCUUCUCACUGAAAUAAUUUCAUAACUCGAAGACAGUUUCGUAUAUAAAUCCUUGUUCGAAAUGUUGGUAGGCACAUAUCGGAUGAUUCCAGUUUUUUCUAUCUGCUCUGCAGGAAUAUGCGCUUUCAAGUUGUGCUUUGUUAAAUAGUCAGUAUUUGUUAUGAAAUUAUUUGCAGUGUUGUAUUGUUUGAAAACAACCGCAAUUUUGUUGGCAUUGACUCUAUGUAAAGCUACCACACCUUUCACCUCUGAAGUAAAAAUAUGAUUUAAGUAAA